UCCUUUGACGUUAGCGGCGGACGGGUGAGUAACACGUGGAUAACCUACCUAUAAGACUGGGAUAACUUCGGGAAACCGGAGCUAAUACCGGAUAACAUAUUGAACCGCAUGGUUCAAUAGUGAAAGGCGGCUUUGCUGUCACUUAUAGAUGGAUCCGCGCCGUAUUAGCUAGUUGGUAAGGUAACGGCUUACCAAGGCAACGAUACGUAGCCGACCUGAGAGGGUGAUCGGCCACACUGGAACUGAGACACGGUCCAGACUCCUACGGGAGGCAGCAGUAGGGAAUCUUCCGCAAUGGGCGAAAGCCUGACGGAGCAACGCCGCGUGAGUGAUGAAGGUCUUCGGAUCGUAAAACUCUGUUAUCAGGGAAGAACAAAUGUGUAAGUAACUGUGCACAUCUUGACGGUACCUGAUCAGAAAGCCACGGCUAACUACGUGCCAGCAGCCGCGGUAAUACGUAGGUGGCAAGCGUUAUCCGGAAUUAUUGGGCGUAAAGCGCGCGUAGGCGGUUUUUUAAGUCUGAUGUGAAAGCCCACGGCUCAACCGUGGAGGGUCAUUGGAAACUGGAAAACUUGAGUGCAGAAGAGGAAAGUGGAAUUCCAUGUGUAGCGGUGAAAUGCGCACAGAUAUGGAGGAAACACCAGUGGCGAAGGCGACUUUCUGGUCUGUAACUGACGCUGAUGUGCGAAAGCGUGGGGGAUCAAACAGGAU
rnacentral:rRNA from 1 species